rnacentral:rRNA from 1 species
CAGCUUGCUGGGGGAUUAGUGGCGAACGGGUGAGUAACACGUGAGUAACCUGCCCUUGACUCUGGGAUAAGCCUGGGAAACUGGGUCUAAUACCGGAUACGACCAUCUGGCGCAUGUCAUGGUGGUGGAAAGCUUUUGUGGUUUUGGAUGGACUCGCGGCCUAUCAGCUUGUUGGUGGGGUAAUGGCCUACCAAGGCGACGACGGGUAGCCGGCCUGAGAGGGUGACCGGCCACACUGGGACUGAGACACGGCCCAGACUCCUACGGGAGGCAGCAGUGGGGAAUAUUGCACAAUGGGCGCAAGCCUGAUGCAGCGACGCCGCGUGAGGGAUGACGGCCUUCGGGUUGUAAACCUCUUUCAGUAGGGAAGAAGCGAAAGUGACGGUACCUGCAGAAGAAGCGCCGGCUAACUACGUGCCAGCAGCCGCGGUAAUACGUAGGGCGCAAGCGUUAUCCGGAAUUAUUGGGCGUAAAGAGCUCGUAGGCGGUUUGUCGCGUCUGCUGUGAAAGACCGGGGCUCAACUCCGGUUCUGCAGUGGGUACGGGCAGACUAGAGUGCAGUAGGGGAGACUGGAAUUCCUGGUGUAGCGGUGAAAUGCGCAGAUAUCAGGAGGAACACCGAUGGCGAAGGCAGGUCUCUGGGCUGUAACUGACGCUGAGGAGCGAAAGCAUGGGGAGCGAACAGGAUUAGAUACCCUGGUAGUCCAUGCCGUAAACGUUGGGCACUAGGUGUGGGGGACAUUCCACGUUUUCCGCGCCGUAGCUAACGCAU